AUUGUCAUCUCGGAAGAGUCCAUUCCGCAGCUGCGGCGUGGCGCCGACGGAGCAACCGCCCCGGAAACUCUCAGGCAAACGGACCGGGAUGAUUUC
rnacentral:ncRNA from 2 species